AAGCUAGCAAACGAAUGGCUGCC
rnacentral:siRNA from 1 species